AUUAACAAAGUGCUCCACCUGUUACAAGAAUGCAGGCAAAGGGCUGGAUGAUGGCAGCUCUCACUUGAUGGUCAGCAAUCAGGAUAUUCCUUACAAGCAAAAUACAGCAAUUACCAACCAACUGAAAAUCUGAUCUUGGGACAUGCUUUGUAGUUCAAGGCUUGAACAAGCAUGCAAAAUAUUAUGGACCUGGCUGUAUGGACCCAUGGAUUAACACCUCUCUCAGCAUUGCCUCCUGUAACUGAGGUCUUUUUCUAGAUUUCCACUUUCCCUGCUGCCGCUGGCAGUCGCUGUAAAAGAUGCGAAGUGUUGGUGUUGUGCCAGGUUACAGCAUUUGCAGUUAUUUCCAUCUGUCCUUCGUGUUUCAGCAUUUGACCACUUUAGUGGCAUUGCAAUUGAAUUUUUCAGGGCUCGAUGGGGCAAAAAUAUAACAGCUGAAUAAUCUUCUGCCACUUGCCUGCAGGAUCUGUGCCACAGGCAGAGUAUUCAUUUCCAGCUAAACAAGAGUCUAAACCAAACUCUUGGAUUAACACCUCUUUUGUACUCUACCAAAAUCUGAGCCAAGAAACAGAGUCAAGAAAUGGUUCCAAUUUUUUUGGUGAAUCAAGUUAAGGUUCUGGAUCCGAACAGGCACUGAAGACUGUCCAUUUUCACUGUCUGGAUCUGAAAUUUGAGCCUUGACACCAUCCUUUGCUUCCAGCCCAGAUUUAUUCUCAGUUCUUAUUUCAAUGUCCAGCAGAACAAACAGGGACAACCCUACCCUGCAGGCUGCUUAUUUUGGGGUGGAGCUGCUAUGGCUGCUUUACCAGUGCAUUCAUCUUCCCAACACACUCCUGCCCUGUACAUCAAGGCCAGCUCUGCCACCCUGUCCCUGGGAGACCCUCACCGUCCUGUGAGGCCAGUGCUGGGGUCCCAGUGAAGCUGGGGCAAUCCCUUCUGUACAGACGGGUCGUGCUCUUGUCUUGUUUGUCCCCCAGCUCCCAUUAAUUGUGGGCUGUAGCGGCAGCAGAUUACCUCACGACAGCCUGGCAGAUGUGCUCUCGCUGAACAAAUAAACUCAUUUAUAUGGCUGUAAUGACUGUUGCUUCUGUGCUCUCAUCAUGAAAACUCCAGCCUAUCUACAGCAGUUUAUAAACAAAGCUGCUUUGCCUUUAUGGAAAAGCAAUUUGUGACUGAGGAUCCUCAGCAGUGACUCGUGCCAAAUAGAGCUCAGGCCAUUUCUCAGAGAACAGGUGUCCGCAUCAUUAAAGCCACAACCCCCCUUGGCAUUAAUUGCUGUCCCUGUUGGCACACUAAGAAAAGAGACAGGGAUUUGUCUGGGCCACGUGGACUUGCUUCCCCGCUCCUUUCUCAUGGUAGUCUUGCAUGUGGUGUGCUGCCCGGGUGGGGUGACCACAGCCUUGGCCACCAGCUGACCAGUACAUCUCCUGCAGCCCUUGCUCCUCAGCUGUCUGGGCAGGGAGCUCUGGGAAAACGUGGCUGGCAGGGACUGGUGAACAAACAGCACUCAUGGGAGGGGGGAAAGAAGGAAACUGUUUAUUAGACAGAGCAAGUUCAUUAACUUCCCCCUUCCCCUCUGUAUUUGUUUUAGCUGUCCCCUUAUUUCCCUCUCUUCUCAUUUGUUUCUUCCCUUGCUUCCUUCCUUGUUACGUUAUUAUUUCAAAAAGGAAAGAAAACUUCACCCUUCUUGUGGCUUUAGAGCAAUAAACUAUGACU
ensembl:lncRNA